rnacentral:rRNA from 1 species
GACAGAGGGGGCAAGCGUUGCUCGGAAUCACUGGGCGUAAAGAGCGUGUAGGCGGCUCGAUAAGUCUGCUGUGAAAGUCCAGGGCUCAACCCUGGAAGGCCGGUGGAAACUGUCGGGCUAGAGUCCGGAAGAGGCGAGUGGAAUUCCCGGUGUAGCGGUGAAAUGCGCAGAUAUCGGGAGGAACACCAAUGGCGAAGGCAGCUCGCUGGGACGGUACUGACGCUGAGGCGCGAAAGCCAGGGAGCAAAGCGGG